rnacentral:rRNA from 1 species
UACGUAGGUGGCGAGCGUUGUUCGGAUUUACUGGGCGUAAAGGGCGCGUAGGCGGCCACCGCAAGUCGACUGUGAAAUCUCCGGGCUUAACCCGGAAAGGUCAGCCGAUACUGCGGGGCUAGAGUGCAGAAGGGGCAACUGGAAUUCUCGGUGUAGCGGUGAAAUGCGUAGAUAUCGAGAGGAACACCUGCGGCGAAGGCGGGUUGCUGGGCUGACACUGACGCUGAGGCGCGAAAGCUAGGGGAGCGAACGGG